rnacentral:rRNA from 1 species
CGUGCCUAAUACAUGCAAGUCGAGCGAAUGGAUUGAGAGCUUGUCUCAAGAAGUUAGCGGCGGACGGGUGAGUAACACGUGGGUAACCUGCCCAUAAGACUGGGAUAACUCCGGGAAACCGGGGCUAAUACCGGAUAACAUUUUGAACUGCAUGGUUCGAAAUUGAAAGGCGGCUUCGGCUGUCACUUAUGGAUGGACCCGCGUCGCAUUAGCUAGUUGGUGAGGUAACGGCUCACCAAGGCAACGAUGCGUAGCCGACCUGAGAGGGUGAUCGGCCACACUGGGACUGAGACACGGCCCAGACUCCUACGGGAGGCAGCAGUAGGGAAUCUUCCGCAAUGGACGAAAGUCUGACGGAGCAACGCCGCGUGAGUGAUGAAGGCUUUCGGGUCGUAAAACUCUGUUGUUAGGGAAGAACAAGUGCUAGUUGAAUAAGCUGGCACCUUGACGGUACCUAACCAGAAAGCCACGGCUAACUACGUGCCAGCAGCC